AAAACAUUGCUGCAUGAACCUAUAUGCGGUAAGUACUGCUCAGUGCCCUUAAUGGGUAAACAGCGGCGUAAAGUUUUAAAGUAGCGAAAUACCUAGCCCUUUAAUUGUGGGCGUGCAUGAAUGUAUAAACGAGGGAACGACUGUCUCUUUUUCAUAGGCUUAAACUGAAUUUCAAGUGAAGUUGCUUGGAUGUUAUUAAAAGACGAUAAGACCCCAGCAGUUUUACCUAAGGGAAAAAAGAUUUUUGUGAUGGAUUGGCUGGGGCAGCAGGAGAAUAGAAAAAACUUCUCUCCCUUUCAGGGUAUUAUAAAUGGCGGUUUAUGAGCUAAUUAGGUUAACCAAGGGGAUGAGUUACGCUGGGGGUAACAGGGCGGUCUGAAAAUGGAGGGCAUAUCGGUUUUCGGGUACGCUACAUCGAUGUUGAAUCAGGGGUGCGCUU
rnacentral:rRNA from 1 species